ACUGUGAGCAAAAGAGUCCAAAAGAGAGUGAACGGCGUCUUAGAGAAAGAAUCGAAAGCGCGAAACGAAACGAAAACUCUUAUAAUACCUCGAUGUCGAACGAGAGAGCGAGAGAGGGAGAGAAAGAGAGAGAGAGAAUGCGAGAGAAGCGAGAAGAAAUAAAUGGGAGAGAAGGAGCGCGACGAAAUCAGUGAGAGCGGAAUAGACGGGAGUAGAGCCGGGAAACGGGACUGAAGUGGAGGCCGCAGCUUAAAUGCGAAAAGCCAAUGAGCCGAAAAGGAGAUAUAAAAAAGCGAAAGUGUGGGAUAAAGGUGGAAAAACCGGCUUGUCCAAUCAUCAUAGACAUUACUUUAGGCAAUAUUGUACGCAACCACUUAAUCACUUAAUAAAUAAUCAU